rnacentral:rRNA from 1 species
AGUGAACGCUGGCGGUAGGCCUAACACAUGCAAGUCGAACGGCAGCACAGUAAGAGCUUGCUCUUACGGGUGGCGAGUGGCGGACGGGUGAGGAAUACAUCGGAAUCUACUUUUUCGUGGGGGAUAACGUAGGGAAACUUACGCUAAUACCGCAUACGACCUACGGGUGAAAGCAGGGGAUCUUCGGACCUUGCGCGAUUGAAUGAGCCGAUGUCGGAUUAGCUAGUUGGCGGGGUAAUGGCCCACCAAGGCGACGAUCGGUAGCUGGUCUGAGAGGAUGAUCAGCCACACUGGAACUGAGACACGGUCCAGACUCCUACGGGAGGCAGCAGUGGGGAAUAUUGGACAAUGGGCGCAAGCCUGAUCCAGCCAUACCGCGUGGGUGAAGAAGGCGUUCGGGUUGUAAAGCCCUUUUGUUGGGAAAGAAAAGCAGUCGGUUAAUACCCCGCUGUUCUGACGGUACCCAAAGAAUAAGCACCGGCUAACUUCGUG